GGGCUCGUAGCUCAGCCUGGAAGCCCUUUUCUUUCUUUAGCUCCUCGCGCUUGUUGCGCUCGUCGCGUAAAGAAAGAAAAGCCCUUGGGGAAAAGAAAGAAACGGGUUUGGGCAAUCCAGAGCGCUGGUCUUAUAAACCAGAUGUCCUGGGUUCAAAUCCCAGCGGGCCCA
rnacentral:tRNA from 1 species